CUCAUAGUUUAGGGGUGUAUAUAUACAUUGAUGUACAAAAAGACUUGUAGAGUUGAUUGAUUGCUGAUCCUGAGAACAGACAAUGAAUCGGAAACCCAGCACUUUGCACUUGCUUUCUGUGUCAGUCUCCACUUUACAUGUGGCAGACUUAGUAGCAUUCAUUUGAACCCACUCCCCUUAUUAAACUUGCAACAUGAAACGUCAAAAGUUUUUGUUUGAAUUGGAAAAGCUGAAAGAAGCAAGAGUAUCAAACGAGAAACAAAAUUUGUGUCUACGACUGAUUGUAACGAGUUGAGGGAUAGAGCACUCUGACGAGCUAGAGAAAAUUCAUUAUUUCGAGAGCCGACUCUCGAGUCCUGUCCUUCGUCUGUUGAGUUCCUGAGAAAAUCACGAUAGUACAGGCAUAAGAACAACGAAAUUAAUGCGUAUUUUAAACAUGGGAACAUUUGCAACCUAAAUAGUAUUUCAUGAAUGGAACGCAAAGAAUCCGCCUUUACUUAAAAAAAUAGACAAUGAUGUGUUACUCAUUGAGACUCUACGACCGCAAAAACUCUAAUUAUAAAAAGGUCAGUCAAACAUCUCUUCAUUUGCUUCACAAUCAUUGGAUCCUUUUUAACACUAGUUUAAAUUACAAAAAGAAAAAAUAAAGAACUUAUGUCCUUGUCCACUUGGGUGAGAAUCAAAUUACUUUUUCUCUUGGAAAACAUGCGCCUACAUGUGUUGAACGAUUUUCACACACCUGGCAGACGCUCACAUAACAGAGCACAGUGAGAAUACAAAUACGAGGGAGAAUAUCAGCUUUACCCCAAGGUCCUUCUGGUCGUUUGCACGUCAAUUCCACCUCUCAACAUGGCUCCACUUGAUGCUGACUAAACACGCCAACCCAUGUGAUAAGCCUAGCGACAAUUAGCAAGACAAGUUUACAAUUCUGCAACAGCCAAUUGCUGGAAUAUGAGGUUACCUAUCCACUAACAGAAGGCAUCUUAUGAUUCCAAAAGUAUUUGUUUAUUUGUCUGUUUUUCUCGAACGUGAUAGCCAGCGUCAAUCACCUUCAAGGAAGAAGUAAAAGCAGUUUAAAUGUUAGUCUUCACUAAGAAUGUGAAACCAGCAGCCAUCCUACCGGCAAUUCAAGUUGAAACCUAAAGAUACACAAUCAAAUUCGAGGGCACCUAAAGCUACAAUGUAUAGAAUCCUACAACCUAUGAGUCACCAGAUGGCUAAUUCGUGACGUAGACCCGUAACUCCAAUCCCUCCACUCGCUCUUCUUGAUACCCUCGUCAGGAACCCAUAGGACACUUUAGAUACACCAAGACAAUACAACACACCAGUGAUCGCUGUUGUCAUUGUGAACUAAUGUCUAUCUAUAAUCUCACAACAAAGUAAGCUCUAAGUACAGAGAAGCAUUCUCAUGAACAUGAACAGUGUUAGCACGGUCACGAUCUGGAGAAACCGCAAAGUAUUAAAAAACCCAUUAGCUGCAAGAAACAAAAGUUCUGCAAGUAGGGAUUUUAAAACAAACUGCCAAACCCUCAACUACGUGCAUUGGUUGUUGGUAGCUAUUCUUAAAGUCGACUGCA
rnacentral:lncRNA from 1 species